GUGCAUGCUGGGCUAUAAUUUAUGAAACGGAUCCCAGGAAACAGCCAAUCAUUUUGCUUCUCCUAACAAGUCCAACUGGCUAUGAAAAGCUGGAAGUGCUGCACAGAACAAUGAAGAGGAGCUAUCCCACAUAUUAAUCUGCUUAUCUAGGAUUGCCUUCUGUGUAGGGAGAGGGAAGCAUAUAAUAAGAGGAGGAAAAAUAAAAAAAGAAAAAUCACAGCUGCGCUAUUAAAACAAUGGAAUACCUCUAAUUA
rnacentral:lncRNA from 1 species